UACGGAGGAUGCAAGCGUUAUCCGGAAUGAUUGGGCGUAAAGCGUCCGCAGGUGGCAAUGUAAGUCUGCUGUCAAAGCGUCUGGCUCAACCAGAUAAAGGCAGUGGAAACUACAUAGCUAGAGUAAGGUAGGGGUAGAGGGAAUUCCUGGUGUAGCGGUGAAAUGCGUAGAGAUCAGGAAGAACACCAACGGCGAAAGCACUCUGCUGGGCCGACACUGACACUGAGAGACGAAAGCUAGGGGAGCGAAUGGG
rnacentral:rRNA from 1 species